rnacentral:rRNA from 1 species
UACGUAGGUGGCAAGCGUUGUUCGGAAUUAUUGGGCGUAAAGCGCGCGUAGGCGGCUUUGCAAGUCGGGUGUGAAAUCCCCAGGCUUAACCUGGGAACUGCAUUCGAGACUGCAUUGCUAGAGUAUGGGAGAGGGAAGUGGAAUUUCCGGUGUAGCGGUGAAAUGCGUAGAUAUCGGAAGGAACAUCAGUGGCGAAAGCGACUUCCUGGACCAAUACUGACGCUCAUGUGCGAAAGCGUGGGGAGCAAACAGG